rnacentral:lncRNA from 1 species
UUAAAUUUAGUGGGUUUUUAAAGACGAUACAUAAACUUAUAACUUUCCUAUUUGUACACUCGGACUUAUUUUUUUCAUAACUAAUAAACACAUUUGACCAUUGAUCAUGCCUAUGUGGCGUCAGUAGGUCCUAAUCAGCCGGCCGCAUGAUCGGAGCGUGAAAACUCCCUUCCCAACUUCCAACAGUACAAAACGGGUUGUGUUUUGAUUGUCUUCUUAUUUAUUCCUUCUAAAAUAUUUCCUUCCUCCAUUUUUAAAAAUCUGAAGCUCCAUUUUCAAUUUUUUUCUUCAUUUUUUCAAACCGUGAAAAUAAUGGAAAGUUGUAUGUUUUGUCAUUGUAGAGUUGAAGCUAAGUUUUGAAUUUCUCCAUAACUUCCCCUUCCAAGU